rnacentral:rRNA from 1 species
UACAGAGGGGGCAAGCGUUGUUCGGAAUUACUGGGCGUAAAGGGCGCGUAGGCGGCCUUCUAAGUCGAACGUGAAAUCCCCGGGCUCAACCCGGGAACUGCGUCCGAUACUGGAAGGCUUGAAUUCGGGAGAGGGUGGCGGAAUUUCCGGUGUAGCGGUGAAAUGCGUAGAGAUCGGAAGGAACGUCGAUGGCGAAGGCAGCCACCUGGCUUGAUACUGACGCUGAGGCGCGAAAGCGUGGGUAGCGAACAGG